GUGGGGAAUCUUGCGCAAUGGGCGAAAGCCUGACGCAGCCAUGCCGCGUGGAUGAUGAAGGUCUUAGGAUUGUAAAAUCCUUUCAGCGGGGACGAUAAUGACGGUACCCGCAGAAGAAGCCCCGGCUAACUUCGUGCCAGCAGCCGCGGUAAUACGAAGGGGGCUAGCGUUGCUCGGAAUUACUGGGCGUAAAGGGAGCGUAGGCGGGUCGUUUAGUCAGAGGUGAAAUCCCGGGGCUCAACCUCGGAACUGCCUUUGAUACUGGCGACCUUGAGUAUGGGAGAGGUAAGUGGAACUCCGAGUGUAGAGGUGAAAUUCGUAGAUAUUCGGAAGAACACCAGUGGCGAAGGCGACUUACUGGCCCAUUACUGACGCUGAGGCUCGAAAGCGUGGGGAGCAAACAGG
rnacentral:rRNA from 1 species